ensembl:lncRNA
UGGAUAUGAAGAUCCUUGAUGGAAGAGGUCCUAGUGCUCUGUGGUGCGUCUCUCAGAUCAAGAGCACCAAGAAGGAAGAACUCUUCCGUAUAGUGGAUUUAUCAAUGCAAACAGAAAGAAUCAGCUGAGACUUUAAAGGCACAAAAGGAUCAUGCAGACAUCCACCAAGGUGAGUCAACAACUAGACUAGAAAAAUUUAUUGUUAAUCUUAGAAGACAGAACAUUGUAUCAGAGGUACACCUGCAGGAUCAUUCCAGAAUGACAUUGACUCUGUGUCCACCUUUUCCACCACCCUGAAACUUACACACACAGACACACACAGAGCUGUCUCAGUCUCUCAGCCCAUCCCUCAGAGAUCCAUGAAAAUAGGAGGGGUGUGUCUGACUGCUUUUUGGGCUCCUCUGUUUCAAAUGAGUCAGACUUCACGGAGUCGUCAACAGAGAACCUCUGACACUCACAGAUAAGGAUUAUGCAAGACUCGGAGGAACUGUAAAACAUUUGGUUUCACUGAAGCUUGUGCUAAUUUAGAGAGGACUGACUUUUUGAAAGGUACUUUCUGCAUAUAUUGCAUAUUUAGUUAACAUGUUGUGUGUGUAUAAUUUGGGGUCUUUAAGAUUUUUUGAGCAUUAUUUAAAGACAAUUUAAAAUUUAAAACAGCUGUUUUCUUUUUCAUUUAUUUGAAAAUGUAAUUUAUUCCUGUGACGACAAAGUUGAAUUUUAAGUAGUCAUUACUCCAAACCUUUGUUAUCAAUGCUGAAAACAGGUGUCAUGCUUAGGUUUUGACAAAUUUGACAUUUAUUCCAUUAGAUAAAUCUCAUUUCAUCUCAUCCUCCUUGAGUAAUAUAGGUGGUAUGAGUUUUUAUGUUGGCACCGUAGCAUAACCAUAGGGCCCAUUUUACAUGACCCUUUUGACCCAGAGUGUAUUUGGCUGUGUGUCUGCAGAUAACAGGAUCUGCUUUGAGAGUUGGAUGGAGCCAAAGAUAGACAACAGACAAGGUGGCAGAGAUGAGAGGAAACUAAGCAGUCGGACUUCAUCCUUGCCCAGCCUGUGGAACGACAGAAAAGACAAAGGAAAAAUAAGGUCCUUGCAUCCAUCACUCAGUUUGAAUUCUUCCUCAAUACCCGUUCUUCCUGCUGCUCAUAUUACUCAGCUCAGUAAGUCUGCUCCAAUGCUAAUGGACCCUUUUCUUGAUGCAAGUGUGCUGCUGCAAGCAAGGGCUAAAAUUCAUAACUGUAAGUAUAGACAGUUGUUUAUUGUGAAAGAAUUGCAUUAAAACAAAAUACAGACACUGAUUAUUAGAUACAUUGUGAAGCAUAAUGUGGUUUGACAGAUUUCAGCGAAUAAAUGAGCACAGUCAGCCA